UCAAGCAUCGUCAUAUAUCAGUUGCUUUGUUGUUACACGCGUGUCGAUUUCGCUGGUCCGUGUUUAUCAUUUCUUCAAAUAUAAUUCUCUAAAAAUAGUUAUUGAAUAUAGUUUUCUUCGAACACAUAUUGCUGUAAACAGUGCCAUAACAAUUCAUAGGUUUUGGUCUGUGCGGCUGCAGCCUUUCGAAUUUAUCGUGCCGCUACAUCAGCUAUAUUAAUUCGUCGGUAGUGAAAACCUUUUAUUCAGAUUUGGAAUCAUUAGGGAAUGUUAUGAAAGGUGACAAUCCAUGUGGUGCCCUUUAUUUUUCAGAUAACUUUACUGAUGCUUUAGUAGCCCGCAUUGCAUUAGGACCUGAUGCUGAUGAUGAAACGAUUAUGCAAUCGGAAGUUCGUGUGUGGCUUGGAAAGCUUAACCCGACAAUCUAUAGCACCAUGCUCAAACUUGUGGAGGCGGCUUAUCGAGAUUUUUCCAAGGCACUGCUACAAGAUUGCAACAAUUUUACGAAUGAGGAAAAUGAUUACGUGGAAACAAAAAUGUGUAUUAAUAAUAGUUCUUCCUUAGCAAACUCUAUACAGCCAAAUGAUUUCAAAAGCUUCUCUCUUUGUUGGCCUUGUAGCCGUCAAUUGAAUUAAAACUGUGUUUCUGUAAAAACAUUUGUUAGUACAAAUAAAUAAAAACAAUAUGUGAAUUGAUUAACUUAAUUAAA
rnacentral:lncRNA from 1 species